UACGGGGGGAGCAAGCGUUGUUCGGAAUUACUGGGCGUAAAGGGCGCGUAGGCGGCCUGAUAAGUAGGGGGUGAAAUCCUGCGGCUUAACCGCAGGGCUGCCUUCUAAACUGUCAGGCUUGAGCACAGUAGAGGCAGGUGGAAUUCCCGGUGUAGCGGUGGAAUGCGUAGAGAUCGGGAAGAACAUCAGUGGCGAAGGCGGCCUGCUGGGCUGUUGCUGACGCUGAGGCGCGACAGCGUGGGGAGCAAACGAGG
rnacentral:rRNA from 1 species